rnacentral:rRNA from 1 species
UACGUAGGGGGCUAGCGUUGUCCGGAAUCAUUGGGCGUAAAGCGCGCGUAGGCGGCCCGGUAAGUCCGCUGUAAAAGUCAAAGGCUCAACCUUUGAAUGUCAGUGGAUACUGCCGGGCUAGAGUCCGGAAGAGGCGAGUGGAACUCCUGGUGUAGCGGUGAAAUGCGCAGAUAUCAGGAAGAACACCAAUGGCGAAAGCAGCUCUCUGGGACGGUACUGACGCUGAGACGCGAAAAGCGUGGGGGAGCGAACAGG